GGGGAAUAUUGCACAAUGGGGGAAACCCUGAUGCAGCAGCGCCGCGUGAGUGAUGAAGGCCUUCGGGUUGUAAAGCUCUGUCUUCAGGGACGAUAAUGACGGUACCUGAGGAGGAAGCCACGGCUAACUACGUGCCAGCAGCCGCGGUAAUACGUAGGUGGCAAGCGUUGUCCGGAUUUACUGGGCGUAAAGGAUGCGUAGGCGGAUAUUUAAGUGAGAUGUGAAAUUCCCGAGCUUAACUUGGGAGCUGCAUUUCAAACUGGAUAUCUAGAGUGCGGGAGAGGAGAAUGGAAUUCCUAGUGUAGCGGUGAAAUGCGUAGAGAUCUGGAGGAAUACCGGUGGCGAAGGCGGCCCCCUGGACAAAGACUGACGCUCAGGUGCGAAAGCGUGGGGAGCAAAC
rnacentral:rRNA from 1 species